CUUGUCUCACCUUUGUGUGCUUCAGCACUGCGCUGCAAUCCUUCAAAUUACAGCUGCAAUUCACAAUAUUCUUUAAUGUUUUUGCUGUGAAUGAUUUUGCUAAUGUAUUCAGGGUGCUUAAACUACGUUUCUGCUCUGAACUGCUCUCAGGAGAAGGCUUUCUCACCCCUGCAAUCAUAAAGGGAGCCAAAGUAUACAAAUCUCCUAACACAGGAUAAUUAAAAGAGAAUCCUGUAAAGGCAACAUUCCUUCAAGCAAGUUGGUGCUGUAACGUUCUGAUCUCCUAAUAUGAAUCACUUAUUCCAGACUGCUCUUUGAAGAAGGCAUCCACUGAUAUAUCUGAGAUUAAAUGAGUCACUCAUGAUGGAUUGUGCUUCAUGGCUUUAUAUACCACAGAAAAUUAUGCAUUUUACACUGCCUUGUAAAAUAACCAUUUAUCUAAGUAAACAUAUUGACUCCUUUUGGGUUCAUAUGAAAACUAUCCUGGGCUGUGAAUCUUAAUUUAGCAAGCUCAUGACAGGCAGGAAAAAGGACAGCUAACAAUGAUGGAGAAGAAUCAGUUACUUAAAUGUCAAUAGAGGGAGUUUAAAAAAUGAACUCAAAGUAACAGAUCAAUUUGUUCCCAAGUGUCCAGUCAGAGAUACAGGACUGGCAACUUCUACCACCUUUAUAUGCUGAUAUGCUGAUAUGAUGUCAAUUCAAGCUCAACAACAGCUUGUGAUGGAGAAAGAAAUGAGGCCAAACAGAACAAAGACAACUGGCUUGAUAUCACUUUACACAGACUCUAUCUCUUUCCACAAUUGCUAUGAUUUUCACAAGAUAAUUGGAUGGCUGGUCACCAGGGAGUGCUUAAGUGUUCCCAGACUCUUGUCGGCAGGGCAGAACAGAGCAUGCAACAGAAGUCCCAAGACCAGCUCUGCAAGGGCUCCACACCAAACUGCAGACUGA
rnacentral:lncRNA from 1 species